rnacentral:rRNA from 1 species
UACGGGGGGGGCAAGCGUUGUUCGGAAUUACUGGGCGUAAAGGGCUCGUAGGUUGCCAACUAAGUCAGACGUGAAAUCCCUCGGCUUAACCGGGGAACUGCGUCUGAUACUGGAUGGCUUGAGUUCGGGAGAGGGAUGCGGAAUUCCAGGUGUAGCGGUGAAAUGCAUAGAUAUGCCAUAGAACACCAAUUGCGAAGGCAGCUGGCUAGACCUGGAUUGACGCUGAGGCACGAAAGCGUGGGGAGCGAACAGG